rnacentral:rRNA from 1 species
UUCGACACACUAUCAUUAACUGAAUCCAUAGGUUAAUGAGGCGAACCGGGGGAACUGAAACAUCUAAGUACCCCGAGGAAAAGAAAUCAACCGAGAUUCCCCCAGUAGCGGCGAGCGAACGGGGAGCAGCCCAGAGCCUGAAUCAGUAUGUGUGUUAGUGGAAGCGUCUGGAAAGGCGCGCGAUACAGGGUGACAGCCCCGUACACAAAAAUGCACAUGCUGUGAGCUCGAUGAGUAGGGCGGGACACGUGGUAUCCUGUCUGAAUAUGGGGGGACCAUCCUCCAAGGCUAAAUACUCCUGACUGACCGAUAGUGAACCAGUACCGUGAGGGAAAGGCGAAAAGAACCCCGGCGAGGGGAGUGAAAAAGAACCUGAAACCGUGUACGUACAAGCAGUGGGAGCACGCUUAGGCGUGUGACUGCGUACCUUUUGUAUAAUGGGUCAGCGACUUAUAUUCUGUAGCAAGGUUAACCGAAUAGGGGAGCCGAAGGGAAACCGAGUCUUAACUGGGCGUUAAGUUGCAGGGUAUAGACCCGAAACCCGGUGAUCUAGCCAUGGGCAGGUUGAAGGUUGGGUAACACUAACUGGAGGACCGAACCGACUAAUGUUGAAAAAUUAGCGGAUGACUUGUGGCUGGGGGUGAAAGGCCAAUCAAACCGGGAGAUAGCUGGUUCUCCCCGAAAGCUAUUUAGGUAGCGCCUCGUGAAUUCAUCUCCGGGGGUAGAGCACUGUUUCGGCAAGGGGGUCAUCCCGACUUACCAACCCGAUGCAAACUGCGAAUACCGGAGAAUGUUAUCACGGGAGACACACGGCGGGUGCUAACGUCCGUCGUGAAGAGGGAAACAACCCAGACCGCCAGCUAAGGUCCCAAAGUCAUGGUUAAGUGGGAAACGAUGUGGGAAGGCCCAGACAGCCAGGAUGUUGGCUUAGAAGCAGCCAUCAUUUAAAGAAAGCGUAAUAGCUCACUGGUCGAGUCGGCCUGCGCGGAAGAUGUAACGGGGCUAAACCAUGCACCGAAGCUGCGGCAGCGACG